rnacentral:rRNA from 1 species
UACGAAGGGUGCAAGCGUUACUCGGAAUUACUGGGCGUAAAGGGCUCGUAGGCGGCCAACUAAGUCAGACGUGAAAUCCCUCGGCUUAACCGGGGAACUGCGUCUGAUACUGGAUGGCUUGAGUUCGGGAGAGGGAUGCGGAAUUCCAGGUGUAGCGGUGAAAUGCGUAGAUAUCUGGAGGAACACCGGUGGCGAAAGCGACUUCCUGGACCAAUACUGACGCUCAUGUGCGAAAGCGUGGGGAGCAAACAGG